UACGUAGGGUGCAAGCGUUAAUCGGAAUUACUGGGCGUAAAGCGUGCGCAGGCGGUGAUGUAAGACAGAUGUGAAAUCCCCGGGCUCAACCUGGGAACUGCAUUUGUGACUGCAUCGCUGGAGUACGGCAGAGGGGGAUGGAAUCCCGCGUGUAGCAGUGAAAUGCGUAGAUAUGCGGAGGAACACCGAUGGCGAAGGCAAUCCCCUGGGCCUGUACUGACGCUCAUGCACGAAAGCGUGGGGAGCAAACAGG
rnacentral:rRNA from 1 species